rnacentral:rRNA from 1 species
GAUGAACGCUGGCGGCGUGCCUAAUACAUGCAAGUCGAGCGAAUGGAUUAAGAGCUUGCUCUUAUGAAGUUAGCGGCGGACGGGUGAGUAACACGUGGGCAACCUGCCCAUAAGACUGGGAUAACUCCGGGAAACCGGGGCUAAUACCGGAUAACAUUUUGAACCGCAUGGUUCGAAAUUGAAAGGCGGCUUCGGCUGUCACUUAUGGAUGGACCCGCGUCGCAUUAGCUAGUUGGUGAGGUAACGGCUCACCAAGGCAACGAUGCGUAGCCGACCUGAGAGGGUGAUCGGCCACUCUGGGACUGAGACACGGCCCAGACUCCUGCGGGAGGCAGCAGUAGGGAAUCUUCCGCAAUGGACGAAAGUCUGACGGAGCGACGCCGCGUGAGUGAUGAAGGCUUUCGGGUCGUAAAACUCUGUUGUUAGGGAAGAACAAGUGCUAGUUGAAUAAGCUGGCACCUUGACGGUACCUAACCAGAAAGCCACGGCUAACUACGUGCCAGCCGCCGCCGUAA